ensembl:lncRNA
AAUUUCAUUCAGAAGCAACCCUGGCUAACUCAGGCAAUCAGUGCAAGUCAUCUGUAAGGUAAUGACCAAGAAUGUGUGGAGGGAGUAAUUCAGUAGUCACGGCUCCCUCGCUUCUAACAGACGAGAUCCUUGUUGUUUUUUAAUAUUGAUUUGUUUUGCGCUGACGGUAUGCAGCAUUGUUGUUCCAUUUGAUUAUAGCUACUACUCGGGAGAAGAGUGAAUCUUGUAGGAUAUAAGUGGAUGAAAUAUCAACGUGCCAAAAAAACAUCAAUUUGUUGAUAAAUGUGUCAUGUUGUAACGUAUGGUUGAAAGAGAGACUAUAUUAACAUUUAAGAUUUUCAUAAUAAUUGAUGAACUGGUCGGCUACCGGCUCCAAUACUCUUACGAGAAAUGUAAGUACGUGAGUGUUUGAAUGAAACACACUGGAACUAUAACCAGUUGCUUUACUUGUCCUGGCCACUCGAUACGGGAAAGACUGUUCUCUUUGGUAAGCUAGUUAGCGUUAGCGCCGGUAGUUUGCUAGUUAGCAUGCUAGCUUGGAGCAUGCUAGCUUGGAGCAUGCUAGCGUUCAACACGAUGACCUGCACCAAAAAUAAACAACCUAGAUUAUUUUUUGUGUUUGGUGUUGCUUAUGCGUUAGGUUGUUGGUAUAUCCAUAAAAUAUUAUUGUCUUUCCCAUUUCAUAUUGAAAACACGUUUUUAAAGCAAUUGGGGCUAAAUAUAGAUUGCAAGGGUGGAGGGCUGAAUUGGUUACUGCAUGCUUAAAGGCUGGCGUCUCAGUCUUUACGCACCGUUGUGUCGACGCACACAUUUCAAUUCAUGGUUCUAACGGGCUCCACCUGGUGUUCUGGCGCUGAAUUGCUCUGCAACACAAGGAAGACUUUUAGAACCAUGAAUUGAAACGAGUGCGUCGACGCAACGACGCAGAAGCAUGCGCCAGCCUUAACACACCUGCGGUUAUCAUUAGUAUUAGUCACUUUACUAUUACUGUCAUCAUAAACCCAAAUUACCACCUUUGCCUUUUCCCUGAAGUCUUUGUGCUUUCCCUCCUCACAGGUUUCUGUGGAUGGUGGUUUACAUCUGAUGGAUGUUGUCUCUGCACUGGUCCUGCCUUACACCUGGCUUAAUGAUUCACAAUAUUUGAAUAAUUUUUGUUGUAGGAAUUUAAUGUACUGUACAUCUUUAAGUUGUUUAUACUCUACACACCUACUUCUCUGCUGUUUUCCCCUCAGGUUUCUCCCAGUUUAAUUUCAUGUGACGGGUAGUGUCAAGGGGUCGGGCUGACGUCAUCAAUGAGUAAGAGUCGCUGGAUGCCUUGUCGGGUGCCCGCUGGUUCAGUACCAUGGAUCUGGCCAGUGGGUACAAUCAAGUUGCCGUGGCAGAGGCCGACAAGAACAAGACAGCUUUUUGUACGCCUAUCGGGUUGUUCGAAUUUAACCGUAUGCCCUUUGGUCAGUGCAAUGCACCAGGCAUUCAUCCUGGAAGUCGAUGCCAGCUACAGUGGUCUUGGAGCAGUGCUCUCGCAGGAGCAGAGUGGUAAGGUGAGACCAGUGGCCUACGCCAGCAGAGGAUUGAAGCCAACGGAACGAAAUAUGACAAAUUACAGUUCCAUGAAGUUGGAGUUCUUGGCGCUCUAGUGGGCCAUGACCGAGAAAUUCAGGGAAUAUCUCCUGGGUCAGAAGUGUGUGGUGUAUACGGACAAUAACCCUUUAAGUUAUCUAUCCACGGCUAAAUUGGGUGCCCUCGAGCAGCGGUGGGCCGCUCAACUUUCUGAUUUUGAUUUCACCAUUAAGUACAGACCCGGCCGAGCCAAUGGUAAUACAGAUGGAUUAUCCCGGCAGUAUCAAACUGAUGCGCCUGCUGAAGGAUAUGGUGCCUUGAUGCCGGGCAGUGCCAUCCCCCAGAUGAUAGCACAACUCGGCAUACAACCGACCAUGGAGGUAACUAAGUCAACCGUGUCAGUUUUCCCUACCCAUUCUGCUGUAGAUCUAGCUGCGUUGCAGGAAGCUGAUCCUAUCAUCAGUCACUUUUUGUUUUUUUGGAACCGGAAAUGAGGCCCAGACCAGCGGGAGAGGCACGCCAUCCCCAAAUCAGUUUUGGAGAUGCUUCGCCAAUGGGAGAGGGUGACAAAGGAGGAGGGAGUUCUGUAUCGCCGUGUGUCUAGACCAGAUGGCGGGGAGGAAGGACGACAGCUAGUAUUGCCUGCUAAACUAAAAAAGAGGAAGUAUUGCACCAGUUACAUCAGGGCCAAGGACACCAAGGUGUAGAACGAACAACCGACCUAGUGAGACAAAGAUGCUACUGGCCAGGUAUGAUUAAUGAAAUUAAAGAGUAUUGCCAGAACUUUGAACGCUGUACAUUGGCAAAAGCGGUCCAACCAAAAGUCCGUGCCUCCAUGGGCCAUUUAUUGGCCUCCCGGCCAAAUCAGAUAUUGGCCCAUUGACUUUACCUUGCUUGAACCGGCUAGAGAUGGUAGAGAACAUGUUCUGAUAAUGACUGAUGUAUUUUCCAAGUAUACACAGGCCAUUCCCACUCGAGACCAGCGAGCACCUACAGUGGAGUUCCGUCUAGGAUUCAUUCCGACCAAGGGAAAGGUUUUGAAGCGGUACUCAUCCAGCAGCUAUGUGAGUUGUACGGGGUUCAGAAAAGUAGGACCACACCUUACAGACCGCAAGGAAAUGGGCAGUGUGAACGUUUCAACCGUUCAUUGCACAAUUUUCUGCGCACGCUGCCAGUGGAGAAGAAGAGGGACUGGACGUUGUACCUCCCACAACUUAUCUCUGCCUACAACACCACCAUACACCAAUCAUCUGGUACGGUGGACCACUGGCUUGGUGAACACCAGAGGCGACUACGAGCAGCCUAUGCCGGGGCAAGACAUCGUAUGCAGGGGGCUGCACAACGGAGAGAGGAGAGACACGACCGAAAUGUUGACGAAGGGCUGACCGUGGACCAGUUGGUGUAUCUGAGGGACCACAGCGUAAGGGGAAGAAACAAGAUCCAGGAUCACUGGAACCCAACACCCUACAGAAUUUUGACACUCUAACGUUCAUCGCUUGCCACAGACAACCGUGAGUGGGCAGGGCGCUACCGUUUUAGGUCCCCUUAGUCUUAAGUCAGGGAGGUGAGUCUUAUCCUCGUCCCGAGGGUAAAAGUAGUGGGGGUAGAUGUGUUGGGUAGUGUCAAGGGGUCGGGCUGACGUCAUCAAUGAGCGCCCUAUUUUACAGGCCGUCUCCCGUUCUCUAGCAGUCCGCUGAGAGGAGAGUAGCAGGUAGGUCGCUAACUGGUAGGUUGUUUGUUAUGGGGGAAAUUGUCAGCUUACAGAUCUCAACCUGGAGUGGAGUCCCUUCGGACGUCAUUGGGGAGGGUUUAGCUCCUCAGCCUUUCCAGGUGGUGCACAAACUGCUGUUUUGCCGUAUCCGGGUACGAGUAGCGAUUAGCAAUUGUAACCAGCUGAUAUCAUAACAUUGUAUGUGGUCGUCGUGGCGCAGGGCUUAGAGAAGGUGUGCUGGGAAGCACAAGGUUAGUGGUUCGAGUCCAGGCUGCCCCAUGUUCCAUGUUGAAGUGUCCCUGAGCAAGACACCUAACCCCUAAUUGCUCCCCAGGCAAAAAUGUGAAAAACCAUGGGUUUAAAGUGUAAUGUAAGUCGCUUUGGAUAAAAGCGUCUGCUAAAUGACCUGUAAUGUAAUGUAUUCGUCCUGCGCUCCGGUUUUUGUUUCGGGUACUUGCCUACUGUUAUUUUUAUUUAUUUCGAGCGGGGGGUGCCCGUUGUGUGGAGGAAUAGCGUGGGUAUUUUCUUAGAUCAGAUUUUAGCAUGUGGUGUGAUAUUGCAUGAACUGUUUUUAACGCACUUUGUUUUGCCGUUGCGUGAGUGAGUUGCAGUGUGUGUGUGUGUGUGUUGCAUGUUUUUAGGUUGCACGGGUGAUUAGAUGUACUGGGAGAUUCGCUGCCUCCACACAGACGCUCGCC